rnacentral:sRNA from 1 species
AUAGCUGCCAAUGGCUCUAAUGAAGAUAGAGGAGAGGUUGCAGAUGAAGAUAAGAGAAUUAUAACUGAUGAUGAGAUAAUAAGCUUAUCCAUUGAAUUCUUUGACCAGAACAGGUAAAAUCUUUAGGCAAUCUAUUUUAUGCUAAUGUUUUAUUAGAUUGUUUCACUAAUAAAUUUUCUCUUUCUUAGAUUGGAUCGGAAAGUAAACAAAGACAAAGAGAAAUCUAAGGAGGAGGUGAAUGAUAAAAGAUACUUACGAUGCCCAGCAGCAAUGACUGUGAUGCACUUAAGAAAGUUUCUCAGAAGUAAAAUGGACAUACCUAAUACUUUCCAGAUUGAUGUCAUGUAUGAGGAGGAACCUUUAAAGGAUUAUUAUACACUAAUGGAUAUUGCCUACAUUUAUACCUGGAGAAGGAAUGGUCCACUUCCAUUGAAAUACAGAGUUCGACCUACUUGUAAAAGAAUGAAGAUCAGUCACCAGAGAGAUGGACUGACAAAUGCUGGAGAACUGGAAAGUGACUCUGGGAGUGACAAGGCCAACAGCCCAGCAGGAGGUAUUCCCUCCACCUCUUCUUGUUUGCCUAGCCCCAGUACUCCAGUGCAGUCUCCUCAUCCACAGUUUCCUCACAUUUCCAGUACUAUGAAUGGAACCAGCAACAGCCCCAGCGGUAACCACCAAUCUUCUUUUGCCAAU